AAAAGAAUGAUGGCUUGAAAUUUUUUUAACAUAAAAUAGAGAUUUAAAGUUAAUUUUUAUCACAAAAAUAUUUAAUUUUACUAAAAUGGACCAAAGUAUAUACUUAACACAAGAGAUGAGAAAAAUGUUAUUGAAACUUCUUUGAAAACCCGGGAGUAUAUAAUUUACUAAAAUAAAUAUAAGUGAGACAAAUCAUAAGAGCAACAACAUAAUUUUUUGGUAAAUUACAGGUAUCAUCCGUGCGCAACUGCGAAAACUAAUCCGCUCGAGAUAGCAGCAACCUAAUUUUAUUUUUAUUUUAAUUAAAUUUUACUGCUUUGUACAUAAGUAUACAUUC
rnacentral:lncRNA from 1 species